UACGUAGGGGGGCUAGCGUUGUCCGGAAUCAUUGGGCGUAAAGCGCGUGUAGGCGGUCCGGUAAGUCCGCUGUGAAAGUCGGGGGCUCAACCCUCGAAUGCCGGUGGAUACUGUCGGGCUAGAGUGCGGAAGAGGCGAGUGGAAUUCCUGGUGUAGCGGUGAAAUGCGCAGAUAUCAGGAGGAACACCAAUUGCGAAGGCAGCUCUCUGGGACGGUACUGACGCUGAAGACGCGGAAAGCGUGGGGAGCGAACAGG
rnacentral:rRNA from 1 species